rnacentral:rRNA from 1 species
GAUGAACGCUGGCGGCGUGCCUAAUACAUGCGAGUAGAACGCUGAAGCUUGGUGCUUGCACCGAGCGGAUGAGUUGCGAACGGGUGAGUAACGCGUAGGUAACCUGCCUCUUAGCGGGGGAUAACUAUUGGAAACGAUAGCUAAUACCGCAUAAAAGUCGAUAUCGCAUGAUAUUGAUUUGAAAGGUGCAAAUGCAUCACUAAGAGAUGGACCUGCGUUGUAUUAGCUAGUUGGUGAGGUAACGGCUCACCAAGGCGACGAUACAUAGCCGACCUGAGAGGGUGAUCGGCCACACUGGGACUGAGACACGGCCCAGACUCCUACGGGAGGCAGCAGUAGGGAAUCUUCGGCAAUGGGGGCAACCCUGACCGAGCAACGCCGCGUGAGUGAAGAAGGUUUUCGGAUCGUAAAGCUCUGUUGUAAGAGAAGAACGAGUGUGAGAGUGGAAAGUUCACACUGUGACGGUAACUUACCAGAAAGGGACGGCUAACUACGUG